ACUUGAACUUAAAAUCCUUGGAUUGCCCAUCCACCGCCUUAACCAGUAAGGAGCAGGUUGUCAAUGAUUUUAUUGAUAAAAUUUUUAUAUUGUGUGAUCCAGUUAGGUUCAAUUCUAUAUGAUAAUGAGACAUGUCGUGAUCUCAUCAUCGACAUCAUCGAAACUCCUUUCGAUGGACCAGAACUCUUCUGAUUCAGACAAUUAGAAUGAUCGAUCAUC
rnacentral:lncRNA from 1 species